UAAUUUAUUUAUUAAUUUAUGUUUUUAGCAAAUUUUGAUAGACCACUGACACCUCUCCUAUUUAAUUUCUAGUGAUCUCAGUCAGAAUGAUGGUUCAGUUUGUUGGUCAAGAAACUAUUUACAGUGGACUACGUGCAUCAGUCAAAGAGAUCUAUAACAAUGAAGGACUUGCUGGAUUUUUUAGUGGUAUCAUUCCUCGUCUUGUUGGAGAAGUCCUGUCCCUUUUGUUAUAUCGAGGAGCUUGCUUCUUGAUCAGCAAAUAUGCUAUUGACAGUGAGGUGAGUAUAAACAAAUCAAAAGUUUUAUGAUUUA